rfam:Clostridium sp. CAG:221 genomic scaffold, scf115
UAAAUGAAAAAAGAAAAAACUCAUAUAAAUCCCUAAUAUGGAGGGAUGUCUCUACAGGAAACCAAUAAAUUUCCGAGCUAUGAGUGAACUUGAUAUAUGU